rnacentral:rRNA from 1 species
GGAAUAUUGGGCAAUGGACGCAAGUCUGACCCAGCGACGCCGCGUGCGGGAUGAAGGCCUUCGGGUUGUAAACCGCUUUCAGCAGGGAAGAAGCGAAAGUGACGGUACCUGCAAAAGAAGCACCGGCUAACUAUGUGCCAGCAGCCGCGGUAAUACAUAGGGUGCAAGCGUUGUCCGGAAUUAUUGGGCGUAAAGAGUUCGUAGGUGGUUCGUUACGUCGGAUGUGAAAAUCUGGGGCUCAACCCCAGACCUGCAUUCGAUACGGGCGAGCUAGAGUUUGGUAGGGGAGACUGGAAUUCCUGGUGUAGCGGUGGAAUGCGCAGAUAUCAGGAAGAACACCAAUGGCGAAGGCAGGUCUCUGGGCCAAUACUGACACUGAGGAACGAAAGCGUGGGGAGCGAACAGGAUUAGAUACCCUGGUAGUCCACGCCGUAAACGGUGGGCGCUAGUUGUGGGGACCUUCCACGGUCUCUGCGACGCAGCUAACGCAUUAAGCGCCCCGCCUGGGGAGUACGAUCGCAAGAUUAAAACUCAAAUGAAUUGACGG